rnacentral:rRNA from 1 species
AUUGAACGCUGGCGGCAUGCUUUACACAUGCAAGUCGAACGGUAACAGGGAGCUUGCUCCGCUGACGAGUGGCGAACGGGUGAGUAAUGCAUCGGAACGUACCCAGUCGUGGGGGAUAACGUAGCGAAAGUUACGCUAAUACCGCAUACGUCCUGAGGGAGAAAGCGGGGGACCGUAAGGCCUCGCGCGAUUGGAGCGGCCGAUGUCGGAUUAGCUAGUUGGUAGGGUAAAGGCCUACCAAGGCGACGAUCCGUAGCGGGUCUGAGAGGAUGAUCCGCCACACUGGGACUGAGACACGGCCCAGACUCCUACGGGAGGCAGCAGUGGGGAAUUUUGGACAAUGGGCGAAAGCCUGAUCCAGCCAUGCCGCGUGAGUGAAGAAGGCC